rnacentral:lncRNA from 1 species
GUUGGUACCAUGGACCGCGGACCGCGGCCCAUGGACCGAACCGGCCCGGUCGGCGGCCCAGACGGACGGGCCCGACGUACGAGCCCCACGAGGCCCAAGGACAGCGAGUGAAGGCUAUAAAUACCUCCCCUGGUCCACCUGGGGAGGGGGUUGAUAAUUCUUAGAGAGAGACACUUGUACUAGGUUGGACGGUGAGAGUGUUCCGGCGAACCCACACACCAACAG